GCCUACUAACGGAAGAGCUACUG
rnacentral:piRNA from 1 species